CAAGUACAUACAAAUUUAUUUUGAGUCGUUGCAAACAAAAAUCCAUUCCGACCUUAAGCCGCAAGUGGGACCAAGUAACUUCAUUGGAGUAAAAACGGUGUACCAACACUUGUGAGACCAAUUGAGUGAUACUUGAAAAAGUGUGAGCUUGAGAGUUAGUGAGGGUGAUUUUUGCUAACCUUAACUUGUUAUUGUUUGUGUUUUGUUUAGUAUUU
rnacentral:lncRNA from 1 species